rnacentral:rRNA from 1 species
ACGUGGAGCCAUCCUUGAAAUACCACCCUGGUUUGUUUGCGGUUCUAACCUUGGUCCGUUAUCCGGAUCGGGGACAGUGCAUGGUGGGCAGUUUGACUGGGGCGGUCUCCUCCCAAAGUGUAACGGAGGAGUUCGAAGGUACGCUAGGUACGGUCGGAAAUCGUGCUGAUAGUGCAAUGGCAUAAGCGUGCUUGACUGUGAGACUGACAAGUCGAACAGGUGCGAAAGCAGGACAUAGUGAUCCGGUGGUUCUGAAUGGAAGGGCCAUCGCUCAACGGAUAAAAGGUACUCUGGGGAUAACAGGCUGAUACCGCCCAAGAGUUCAUAUCGACGGCGGUGUUUGGCACCUCGAUGUCGGCUCAUCUCAUCCUGGGGCUGUAGCCGGUCCCAAGGGUAUGGCUGUUCGCCAUUUAAAGAGGUACGUGAGCUGGGUUUAAAACGUCGUGAGACAGUUUGGUCCCUAUCUGCCGUGGGCGUUGGAUACUUGACGGAGCCUGCUCCUAGUACGAGAGGACCGGAGUGGACGUACCUCUGGUGUACCGGUUGUCAUGCCAAUGGCAUUGCCGGGUAGCUAAGUACGGAAGAGAUAACCGCUGAAGGCAUCUAAGCGGGAAACUCGUCUGAAGAUAAGGUAUCCCGGGGACUUGAUCCCCCUGAAGGGUCGUUCGAGACCAGGACGUUGAUAGGUCGGGUGUGGAAGCGCAGUAAUGCGUUAAGCUAACCGAUACUAAUUGCCCGUGAGGCUUGAUCCU